AGGGCCUUCGUAUACCUGAGCAACUUGCUGUACCCUGUGCCCCUGGUGCACCGCGUGGCCAUCGUCAGCGAAAAGGGAGAGGUGAAAGGCUUCCUCCGUGUGGCGGUGCAGGCCAUCUCAGCUGAUGAGGAGGCUCCGGAUUAUGGAUCAGGUGUCCGUCAGUCAGGAACGGCUAAAAUCUCCUUCGAUGACCAGCACUUUGAAAAGUUCCAGUCUGAGUCCUGCCCUGUGGUGGGGAU
rnacentral:lncRNA from 1 species